UACCUUUUGAUUUACUCCAAGUUAACAGAUUUGGGACCUUGAUUAUAUCGGCAAAAUCUCUUUUGCCAUGCAAUGUAACAAUCACAGGUGUGAAAUCUUAUAUUCACAGGUUCUGAACACACUCAAGGGAAGAGAGUUAUACAGGAUGAUGGGCAAUGGGAUCAUUUUAGGAGUCUGAUAACCACAGCUCCUGCAUAUAUGUAGAGUGUCACUCUCCUCUUUCUUCACUCUCUCAGAGAAGCAUUUUCUCUUUUGUUUCAGGGCAUCAUCUUAAAAUGUCAAUGAAUCUUUCUCUUUUCUAAAUAUUUGCAUGUACCUUAAACUGCCAUAUGCCUUACAUUGAUAGUUUGGUUUCAGCCUCAUUUCUUAGGUAAGGCUGGGGCCAUCUUUUUUAUGUGCCCUUCAGUAGUUGGAUAAUAUAUGAGUUUUAAUCCAAGAGCUUCUGAGUUUCACUGAUUUACAGCUGAAGUUUCAGCUAUAUGCAAAGCCACAUGGACACACACACACCCAGCCAUGCCCAUAAGUAUAUUUGGUAAUUUAUUGUGAAGUUUUGCUAAUGUCUGUUAUUCAGCAAUAGUUUCUGGUAUAAGUUUAUUCUUUCCCUGUUUGAAUAUGUUAGAAAGUUUACAAAAUUAUGAGAGCAUUAGAGAAUCCUAAAGUGAAAGAAAAAAUGUUUUCAUAGUAUUUUGUUUUACCUUUGAAAGAUGUGGUUUUUAUUAGUAAUACCUACAUUUCUGUUUGUUAGUAAUACCUACAUUUAUGGUUUACAAGGCAUCACACUAUAUCUGUAUCUCAUAAAUCAUAGCAGUAAUGUUGUAAGUGAGGAACAGAAUAUCAAGGUUGGUGAUUCCCCAAAUUAUGCAGGUAGAAUUGGGUAGAACUGGGAAAUCAACCAAGGAAUUUUGAGUCUAAGCUCUUUCUUAUAACCUUUUCUCUACCAUAUGACUGGAAAGAGUUUGCAAAUAUAUCUCAUGUUUUCAUAAAAUAAUAGAGAUGCAACUUUAUAGAAGUGGAGGGAUAUCAUCUUAUUUUGUGCAACUCUGACUCAGUUCAAAUAAUGACUGUCAUUUUUUUCUAGAUUUAUGUGCAACUCUUUAUGAAUGGUUUUAUUUUCUAUUAUGCUGUUAUUUAUAAUUUGGCAUGUGCUUCUUGUCUGCUUCAUGUUUUCCUUGUAUUUUUAUGAUGCUGCAAAUCUUGUUUAUAAAUGCAACAAAUGUAAAACAGGCCAGUUAACAGAUUUAUUCAGGGAUUUCUCAGCCUUUCACACUUAGACUAUUCCUUAACAACGUUUAAUUGUCUAGAGACAAAUUUUCUAAGAAAGAAUGACAAAAAUUAUUCAGAAUAGAAAUAUUCAUGGGAUUUGGAGAUUGAUGAGGACAUUCUGUUUGGCAAGAGGCUUUUGUUAAGUAGAUAAAGCCUACAAAUAUAUAGAGAGAUGGUGUAAGUGGGUGGAUAUUAGGAAACUUUUAAAAAUUAAAUUAUUUUAAAUAGGUAAUAUAGACAGAUGAUAAAUUCAAAUAGGUAAAAAGAGUGCAGUAAGAAAUGAGUUUUUCUUUCAAUUCUGUGUCCCAGUCCUUGUCAGUAGUAUUAUGGCUUACACUGAAAAGAGAUUUACUGUUUUUCCAAAAUGGGAAAAAAGAUUUGCUGGCGUUUGAAAGUAUAAUAGAACUUAAGAAAAAGUGAGAAAUGGCAGUAAAGUGCAUUUGUAUGCCUACUAAGAAAAACUUCUGGAUAGCUGGUAUCCAAAAUAACUUUCCACUUGAACUGAUAUAGUGUUGAAUGACUGAGAGAACGUAUACUAUUCAUGUACAUGUUUGCUGUAUUCAGCACAAAAUGAAAUAUUUCUCAUGUAUUGAGCUGCUUCUACCAUGUUCUUGUUAUGCUUAUUAAUAGAGUAGCACCCCUUCAAUCAUCUUUUCUUAGGCUAGUCUUUCAGUUACACUGUGGAAUCCACCUAUGCUAUGUCAUUAUAGAAUCAGGAUGCUGUGGGUAGAAUUGUGGUUACUUAAAAAAAUACAUUGAAGUUCUAACCUCUGGAGCUUGUGAAUGUGACCUUAGUUUGGAAACAGCAUCUUCACACAUAUAAUCAAAUUAAGAUGAGGUUAAGAUUGGAGUAGGCUCUAAAUAUAAUGACUAGUAUCUGUCUAACAAGGCCAAAUAAGGGCAAAGAUGCACACAGAAAAAUACCAUGUGAUGCCUUGGACAGAGAUUGUAGUGAUGCAAUUGUAAGACAAGGAAUGUCAGGAACUGCCUGUGAUCACCAGAAUCUAGGAGAAAAUCAUGGGACAGAUUCUCCUGUAGAACCUUCAAAGGAAACCAGCCUUGCUGAUACCUUGACUUUGGACUUCUAGCCUCCAGAAAUGAGAGAAUAUUUUUCUGAUGUUUUAAGCCACAAAGUCUGUGGUACUUUAUUAUGGCAGCCCUAAUAAACUAACACAGGAAGAAAGGCAGGAAAACUGUUUUCCUUACUGAGAAGCUGUUUAUGUGCUAGGUACUAUACAAUACACACAUUAUGCCAUUAGUGUUCUUCUCACAACUGCCUUGCAGAGUAGGUAUUAUUCCUAUUUAAUAGAUGCAAAACCUCAGGCUCAGGCUCUGAAGUCUUAAAUAAAUUUUGCAGAGUUACACAGUAGAUGGUCUCUAUCUGAUAAAGAAGCCAUUAUAACACAUUAUUGCUGAUGAUGUCUCAUUUACAAAGGAACAACUAAACUUAGAGAUGUUUUUAGCCACCUGGGGCUUCACACAUGGUUGAUUUUAGAAUUGGAAGCAAAAAAUAUAUCUCCUACUAAUGCCGAAAGUCUCACUGUUUUUUAUUAUUGACAUUUAUUUUUACAAUGUAAAUAUUCCUAGAAAAAAUAACAUAUGCCCAUGGAAACAUAAAUUUAUCCAAGGCUUUUGUUAUAUUUUUCUGAGGUCACAGAAGCUCUAUGGCUGAAGACCAUUGGAUGCAUGGUGAAAAAGAUGGGCAUGGAUUAGUGAAAGAGUAUAGAAAGAGAAGAUAGUGUAGCAAUAUAAAAUAAAUCCUGCCCACUUUAGCAUUUUCCUAAGGUCUGGCAGAUGUUUCUUCUGUAUUUGUUUAUCCUUAAUAACUUUUGUUGUUAGGGCUGACAUCAUCUUCACUGGAGAUUUAUAUUUGUAAUAGUGUUAAAUAUGAGGACUAAGUUGAAAUAGUUGGUAGAGGUAGGACGAUAGACUAUAUGUCUGACACAUACCUGGCUCAAACAACUGUUUGAUAUUCUAAAUGCGGUUGAAAAAAUGUAAUGUAAUAUAGUUUUGUAGUUUUUUUUUUUUUUCUGGUGGAGUCUCAAUCUGUUACCACACUGGAGUGCAGUGGCAUGAUCUCAGCUCACUGCAACUUCCACCUCCCAGGUUCAAGCGGUUCUCCUGCCUCAGCCUCCUGAGUAGCUGGGACUAUAGGCAUGCAACCAAGGCCAGCUAAUUUUUGUAUUUUUAGUAGGCAUAGGGUUUUACCAUGUUGGCCAGGAUUGUCUCGAUCUCUUGAUCUCGUGAUCCACCCACCCUGGCCUCCUAAAGUGCUGGGAUUACAGGUGUGAGCCAGUGUACCUGGCCAGUGUGUUUUUUUAACUGCAUAGAAUACAUUUUUUACUGUAAGGAAUUUAGAAAAUGUAGAUAAAAGAAGAAAAUGACUAAUUAUACCAUCCUAAGUCUGGCAAAGCUGUAUUUCAGUAUGUGUUUUCAGGACAUAUUGUAUGAAUACUUAAAAAUUAAAUUGGAUAAUACUAGCAUAUAUUUUUGAACUACUGGAAAGUUUUGAAAUAAAAUAAAAAUAAAUGACAAUACAAAUAUGGCAUGCCUAAUACAGUUUAAUGAUUAUUUGAAUUUCUGCAAAUAGGCUUUUCUUGUUUUAGGUACAGCUCCUUAUUGAAGACUAAGUAAAAGGAUAUUUUAAAGAUUGAUUUUCGUUUUCUGCAGAACUUAAAAUCUCAUCCCAAGGCUCAGAGUAGAGUCUGUCUUGCUUUAUUUGUCAUCAGUCUAUGUUCCUGAUAGUGACCUCAUCCAGUAUAGCUAAGUGAUGAUUUUCUUUUGCUUUUCCCAUCUUUUCAUUAUAAUAGUUUUAAAGUGAAAUUAUUAUAGAUUGUGUAUAGCUAAAUCACAAGUUGGCUGCUUGACAAAAGUAAGACUCAAACCACUUAGAUUUUCAGAGGUUUUGAUUGUAAUGAAUGUUAUUUUCAUUACUAUCAAAUUGAUAUCCAUACUCAUUUCUAAAUCUGUACUUCAUGUGUCUCAGAGGUCUUUUGGAAGAAAACUGAUGUGCUGGUGUUCACUGGAAUGAUAACUCCUGGGGUAAUGUGGUAUCAUGAUGACUAAAAAUCUUACCCAUAGUGGAUUGCACUUGCAAUAGAUAUAAGGUAAAAUACUCACAGCUUUAGUAAUUGAAUGAUGUGGGGGAAAUAAUAAGGGCUGUAUAAUUGUCUGGCCUUUGCUAACCACUUUAAAAGGCCUGAUGAAGGACAACCAAAGGGUAAGGUCAGCCAACCAUUAUUCAAGACACUGUGAAACCCAGCAGGCCUUCAAGGCAGUUUUUCAAGUGAUCCUUAUCUCCUGCAGUCAGAGAAUAGAUUGGGACUGGAAUUUAAUUGUGAGGGUGGUCAAGAUGUAAGGGAGAUGAAGUGAGAAGUCUUGGCAGGUUUCUUAAGUUAGAUUCAGGGCCCAGAUCAUGGAAGUAUGAGAACUGAAAUGAAGACGUUUGGUGGAUGUGCCAGAGAAUUUUGAACCCUUUAUUCUCUUGUGCUGGUGGAGGUGACGCCCACCUGCUGGCUAGAGGAGAGUAUCCUCUCCUUGCCUGUGGGGGAAAAAAAAAACUCUAUGUGAAAGACCUCAACAUAUGCAACUGCCUUGCAAAAUGAUGCAUGUCUUCCUUCCUUCUCUCAUUGUCUAGAGGCUAGAAAUAAGGGUCACAUCUGAGCAUUACUUGAGGAGGCAAGUCUGGGGUGAAUAGUUUACUCUUUAAAGGAUUGCAGGAUCUGGAUAGGCUGUACCAACAGGAACUAGGUAAACAGGUGUGGAAGUAGAUCUUGUGGACAUUAGCAAGGGGCCUGGUGCAGAAUAUAAGGCUGGUAAGUGGAGAGUUUAUUGACUUGGGUUCACCUUCCCAUGACUCAAGGUUUAACAUCCUAGCGAAGACACCUGGAGCCCAUCAUAAUGCUCUGCUAGGGUGGCUCUUUGAAGCUACUUAGAGAAGCCAGAACCUUUUGACAGAGUAUUGAGGAAUGGAGUUAGAAGUCUGGGGAAGUAGGCAUGUUAGAAUGGAUUUAUUAUGUGAGACUAGAAAACUCUCAUUCCUGCCUCUGUUCCCUGGGAGAGCCCUGAUGACACUUCAUUCACUAAAGCAAUAAGGAAUGCACUUUAAGGCAAACACUGGCAUGUUCGAGAAGCUCUGUAGUGGCUAUCCUCUUUAGGCUAUGGUUGACAGUUGGGGAUUGGCUUCUGUGGUUGCCUAGACAAAAUGAGAAUGAUGGGAUUCCAGAAUUUCUGAGGCCAAAUGGUGGUACCUUAGACAUAAUAAAUGGACAAAAAGGUCAGAUGAAUAACCAGGAGGCUUUGACCCAUUGGGACCUGUGGCAAGGGUUCAUACAUCAUGGUGUUCCUGACAGAAGAGAAAUGAUCAUUUCACUUGUCCACUACAUUGAUGCCAUUGUGCCAACUGGAUCUGAUGUGCAGGAAGGAGAGAGGACCCUACUUGCCCCAGUAAGAUCAUCAGCAUUGCACAGCUGUCUCAGACACUGGGGGCCUGAGAAGGUGAUGACAGCAACCAUCUGCCUCACGUACACACAUCAUCUCACAUAUGACUUACAGCACCAUGUCCAAGUGAGUAUUAAUAUCUUCUUUUUAAAGACAAGGAAUCUGAGCCUUUAAGUUAAGUAAUUUGCCUAUAAAGUCAAAGAGAUAGUCAAUGGUAGAGCUAAAAUUCAAACUGAAGUCUUUCUAAGUCCAACACUGCUGUGUUCUCCCUCUGCAUCUCCUUGUGGCUCCUUGCAAGAUCUCUAGAGCUACCUUUUUAACUAGUAAGAGAAAGUAGCAUUGGCCAACUUUCCAAAUGAGAUCACAUGGUAUCUCUGUUUUCUUAACAGGAAAUCAGAGAUUGAAGGAUUUGAUAAUAUUGAAUCUCUUGAUAGGAAUUGUUACCCAAUUCUUGUUAACUUCGAGUUCCAAGUUUUAAAUCAUCUUAAUUUCAACUUCUUCUGUGUAAAAAUUUAAUCACCACAAUAUGCUUACUCAGGCAGGUCUUCUGUGGAACACUUAAUAGGUGAUUUAAAAUUCAUGUGAAACAUUGUAUAAUGAAGGCAAAGACCUGGCACUGAUUGUGAAUACAGUAUAGCAGAAGUAGGUGACUGGUCUUUUGAUAUGAAUAAUGCAGAAAAAAUUACACUGGCAAAAGUUAAACAGGUAAGGAAGUAUUUAUUCAAGACUAUUUCAAUAAGGGAGAGAUGUUGAACUCAACUUCUCCAAAACAAAGGACUGGAGAGUUUUUUUUUUUUUUUUUGAGACAGAGUCUCGCUUUGUUGCCAGGUGCCAGGCUGGAGUGCAGUGGUGCGAUCUCGGCUCACUGCAACCUCCACCUCCUUGGUUCAAGCGAUUCUAGGGCUGGAGAGUUUUUAAGAGCCAGGGUGAAGAGAAUCAUAGGCCGCCUGUGUUUGCUAAUUGGACGUACCCAAAGGAAAAGUAAACUUUCAUAUCUUCAUGACAGGUGGCAGGUUUACAACUUAGAGUGAGGCAUCCAUGGAUGAUGAUGAUUGCAUUUUGGAGGGAUGGCUCCCAGCUCCUUGAUAAAGGCAUUUUGCUCUUACGUCUGCAGCUGAAGAAAGAAAAGCCAGAUGUUUCUGAUAAAUAGUGACACAGAUUUCUACAAUAUCUUUAUAUUAAUUUUAGGUGGUCAGUUUACAUAUAUUAUUCUGAUAAUUUCCUCAAUUAUUGCAUUUUCUGUGAUUAUAGAUAUAUUGCUGUUCUCUUUCAAUUCUUAUUAAAUGUGUAAUAGCUGAAUCAUGUAAUGUCAGCUAUUGCAAAAAGGACAGCCUUUCUUAUUAAAACAAAACCCAGAAACUCCAUGGAUUUUGCUAUUUUGCUACUGGAAGGAGAUCAUUUUUGAAGAGGAGAGUGGGUAAACAAACAGCUGCUUCUUUGUUUUCCUGGAUUUGUCUUUGUCUUGGGGUUCUUCUGUUCUAAUCAUUCCCACUAUCAAACCAUUCCUGGGGCUAUGCUGUAGUUAUUUUGAAGGUCUGAUUCAAGCACAAAAAGGAACCCCAUUUUUCAGUUCUUUUUCUAUUACAAUUAAUGUAGCAUAAAAUAUUCAAAUAUUAGCCAAACACAGAACCAUAAAAAUAAGGAUACAAGGACAGAAAAAUGUGAGAAACAAAAAUGGUCAGACUUAACACAGGGUAUGUCUCUGAUCCUGUGGUAGGUAGUUAUUUUCCAAGUCUCAUAGGCUCUGUCUGCUAGCUUAAUAAUAAGUUUCUUGGAACUGGGUUUCUCCCUCUAAUCUCGUCUCAAGCUUUCUCCUAUAUGUUCUGCGAUAUAGACCUUAGCCCCACUAGGGCACUCUCUUCCCUGCAGACAUCUGAAAUUUUGCAUUUGUGCAUCAUUGUACAGGCUGUUCCCCUUGGCCAGAAUGGCACCCUCCUGUCUCUUUUGUCCAUAUAUCCUUACUCAUUCCUGAGAUCUCACUCACUGAUCACUCCUUAGUGUUUUAGACACCCACAAAAUUAAUUCCUUUUGUGUUUCUGUAGUGCUUUUGAUAUAAUUUAAAAAUUUUAGUUUUACUGUAUUAUUUUUUAAUCUGGUAUCUAUCCCCUUUGUUAGGCCUGGAUUCCUUGGAAGUAGACUUCAUUUUAAUGACCAUCUGCAUAUAGCAUAGCAACUAGAACAUAUCAGAUAUUCGAAAGCUUUUUGUUAAAUUAUGUUGAUCAAUUUUGAUGCUCUUUUGGAGAAGAUACCCACAUUUUCAUGUCAACUGACAGAACUUUGAAGAUUCUUGCCCAGUUCAUUGCUUUAAAAUUUCCAACUCCUUGGAAGUAUCCCUGUAACCAGACAUUUUGAUCCUUGCCACCCUUGCAUUUAGAAUCUGGUCAGCCUCUAAAAUGAAAUCCUCAGGUGCAAGUUGCAGGUUAGGGUGGAGGGCAAUUUGCUUUAUUUUUAAUAUUAAACUAAAUAAUUUAAAAUUCUACUACAUAAAAUGACACACUUUGGCAUGUAAUUUAAUAUUUCCUUACUGUCAUUUUUAGUUUUACCUGGAGCAGUUGGUGAGUUUGCUUUAGUAUUGUAUUUUAAAAAUGCAUAGGAUUUCUAUUUUUCUUAGUAUCUCAAGCCAGAUAGCAAAACUAUUCUGCCUCCUCCAGGUGAUAUAGAAGUGGGGGUUAAUAUGGAAGGUGCCCUCAACUGGAUUCAGAUCAGCUUACAUUCUGGUUGAGUCUCUAGUGAAUGCUCCAGAUGCUAGCCAUUAUUUCACUGCCCUAAGCUUCUGUUUCCUCAGCUGUUUCUGUCCAGAUAGAAUAUCAAAGGUUUUCCAAGUACAGUUUUUCUUUUUGGGUAUUCUAUACUAACUUGGUUCUGAUUUCUCCAUGUGAUAUUUUCUUUGAUUUCUACAUAACAGGGAAGACUGACAGCUAACUAAUGCAAGAAAUAGAGAAUUAUUAGAAAGAAAUAAUAGAUCGAUUUGAUUUCUGACGUGGGUGCAGGUCUCCCAAUUAUGACUGUAGGUAAAAAUGAAAAGUCUGCUGGAGGGUUCACAUGCAGGUGCAUUUGUUUGCAAAGGCUCUUCAUUGGAGAGUACGUUGGCUUAGCCAGUGCUAUCUUUUGAACACACAGAGCCUUUUUGCGUGCUAAGUCUACAGCUAUUUUCUUUGGCAAGAGAGAGUCUACAUGAGACCAUUUGAGUUUUGUAUCCAAUUCUGUUCUUAUCUGAGUCUACUUUUGAAGAAAUAAACCUGUGAGACUACUCUAACAAUUUUUAGUUUUUCUUUACCAGGUCCUUUUGGGAAGAUAGGGUGGUUUUCACUGACUUUGGGCAACAAUUAUGAAAAUAGAUGUCUUCCAGGGACUAAAAUUUGCUUUGGUAUAAUUAAAACUAGCCAGAAAGUACAGCUUUAAUCAUUUGUUUUUAUUAUCAUUAUACUCAGUUUAUGAAGAAAAUGAUGACUGCCUAUGUGGUCAACAGCCAUGAUUAUUUUAUUAGCUGUUGUCUGAUAUUGUCAGCCAUAUUGAAAGCUGUAGGAGGGUAAGGUACUUCAGACUAGGGGAGUAAGAUGACAAGAUAGAGAAAAGAGGUAUAUAUAUUUUACAGUUGGGAGAUCAUUUUUUGUAAGACAUGUAAUUUACAUGGAAUAAUGGAAAAAAGGGACAAGUUUAGAUAUUCUCUGAAUAAAUUCAGUGAGUAAUUACUUCACAAAAGAUAAGUAAUGAAGUUAUAUUACUAAGGCCAUUAUUGAGCAAGUAUCAAGCAGAGAAUGUUUACAAAUGCUGUUAAAAAGAAGUACACCUUUAUUAAAUAUCCAUUGGCUCUUAUUAAUACAUUUUAAUUAAAAACAUACAUUAUUCCUGGUACUUACAGUGGCACUAAGUGCAUUUCAAAUGGAUUGACUGAAAGCCAGUCUUUCAUUUAGGUUUUGGU